UACGAAGGGGGGCUAGCGUUGUUCGGAUUUACUGGGCGUAAAGCGCACGUAGGCGGAUCGUUAAGUCGGGGGGUGAAAUCCUGGAGCUCAACUCCAGAACUGCCUUCGAUACUGGCGAUCUUGAGCCCGGAAGAGGUGAGUGGAACUCCUAGUGUAGCGGUGAAAUGCGCAGAUAUCAGGAAGAACACCCGUGGCGAAGGCGGCUCUCUGGGACGGUACUGACGCUGAGACGCGAAAAGCGUGGGGGAGCGAACAGG
rnacentral:rRNA from 1 species